rnacentral:misc_RNA from 1 species
GAAAUGCGAUAAGUAGUGUGAAUUGCAGAAUUCAGUGAAUCAUCGAAUCUUUGAACGCACAUUGCGCCCGCCAGCAUUCUGGCGGGCAUGCCUGUUCGAGCGUCAUUUCAACCCUCGAGCCCCCCCGGGGGCCUCGGUGUUGGGGGACGGCACACCAGCCGCCCCCGAAAUGCAGUGGCGACCCCGCCGCAGCCUCCCCUGCGUAGUAGCACACACCUCGCACCGGAGCGCGGAGGCGGUCACGCCGUAAAACGCCCAACUUUCUUAGAGUUGACCUCGGAUCAGGUAGGAAUACCCGCUGAACUUAAGC